AGUGAACGCUGGCGGUAGGCCUAACACAUGCAAGUCGAACGGCAGCACAGUAAGAGCUUGCUCUUACGGGUGGCGAGUGGCGGACGGGUGAGGAAUACAUCGGAAUCUACUUUUUCGUGGGGGAUAACGUAGGGAAACUUACGCUAAUACCGCAUACGACCUACGGGUGAAAGCAGGGGAUCUUCGGACCUUGCGCGAUUGAAUGAGCCGAUGUCGGAUUAGCUAGUUGGCGGGGUAAAGGCCCACCAAGGCGACGAUCCGUAGCUGGUCUGAGAGGAUGAUGCGCCACACUGGAACUGAGACACGGUCCAGGGUCCUACGGGAGGCAGCAGUGGGUAAUAUUGGAAAAUGUGCGCAAGCCUGAUCCAGCCAUACCGCGUGGGUGAAGAAGGCCUUCGUGUUGUAAAGCCCUUUUGUUGGGAAAGAAAAGCAGCAGGUUAAUACCCCGCUGUUCUGACGGUACCCAAAGAAUAAGCACCGGCUAACUUCGU
rnacentral:rRNA from 1 species